CAAACCUAGCGUGAAAAACAAAAUUAAUUACCUUCAAAGAAAAGUAAACAAAAAUUGCUUUUUGGAGCUGAGGUACUAGACUCAGAUUUUUUAAUGCCACUGAAGGGAACUAGGGAUGGAUGCACAUUAUAAAAUGAUAAGAAUUAUUUUGAAGUGUGGACACCAUGAAAAGUUUCUCUAUGAAUGAUCUGAAAGUGAGUUACUACUAUCCAAAUUCAGCCUGGAUCCCUUUCUUUAAGGAGUCUGUCCUUACAAGCAAGUCCACACUUGCUUUCUGGUUUUAGCUAGCACCUGUAAAUAUAUGUGUGGCCACUGCACAUGCAGCCUUCCUACACAAGACAGACAUGAAGAUGGUGAAAAAGCAAAGCCUCUCUGAUACCACAGUAAGUGAUGUCCAUGUGUUGCUUCACAUACUAAAGCAGGCUUUCCUGCCAUUCAGAAACAGGAAGUAAAACUGCUUAUUCAACAUCUAAAAUGAAAUUUAACUCACCAGCUGUGGAAUACGUGUAUAGUUUACAUGCUAGUGUAACCAAACUGGAAGACAGCUACUGCACUACUGGGGCAGACUGGCAAAUAGGACAAAUUCAAAAUUAAGACUCCAGUGAAUACAAACAAGAUCCAUCACACUCCUUCCAUCCACUCCCAUCUAUAAACCACCUCUAUCUCAUUUGCAGCACUUUACAGCAAAGGUGCAUUCUAAAGAAGGGUGAGCACCACCUUACCUUCACUGUGCCAUCAGAGGACGCGCUGAUAAUAUAGUGACCAUCCUGGGUAAAGGUGGCUUCAUUGACGAAGGAGGAAUGACCACGGAAUUCUUUUAAAGUUUUGCCAGAUUUUAAACCAUGAAUCCUGUCAUGCAACAGAAGUCAGAUGUGAGUGAGCAACUGAAGUAGUCUGAAUCACCACAGCACUUCAAAUCCGAGCUACGUUUGACAGGCAGCAAUAAGAAGUGCCAAAAAUCUCCAAACUGUUUUUUUUUUUAACCACAAAUCCCUUUCAAAGAUGCUGUGUGCUCCACUAAAAACCUUUGAGAAAAGCCAUUGCUUUUCAACUUCAAGGACUCAUAUGUAAUAUAUUUUAGAAGGCAAGACUACAAGAGAGAAGUUAUGAAUCUGCCAAACAAAAACUUUAAAGGGGUAAGCACUGACUUCCCUUCACUGUGCCACCAAAGGAAGCACUGAUAAUUCAAGUGUGGAUUGACCUCUGAGGGUCUCUUGUUCAGCAGGUUCCUUGCAGUAAAGCUGACUGUUAAGUGAUACCAUCUUGCUUAGGGCUUUGGAAAGGCUUCUUCCAGUGGAGAUAAGACAGUCUCCACAAAUAGAAAUGUUCACUGCACACUUCCACCAGUACUGUGUGACACACGGAAAAUAAAAGAGCACCAACCAAAACCUUUCUGUGAAAAGUAUCUCUUUAUACCAGCAUUUUUCGUUUGAAAUCUCUUCCCAUAAUCUCUUUUUCUUUUUUUUUUUCUGCUGUGCAACUUCACCAUUUGCCUGCCUAUGCUAUGGUUCAUCUGUACUGCGACUUGUAUGGACUGACAGCUCCCAGUGAGCUAUUUUGUAAUGCCUGUUCACUGUGCAGUUGCUUUCAGAUCUUUAGCAGUGCCCUCAUUUUCAUCUCAUUUACAACAGUACCUUUACUGCUUGCAGCACAAACAAGAGGCUAAGGCUAAGGUUAUGUAAUCUCGUUCAAUUAAAAAUAAUCACAUGAAGUUGUUAGGCACUGGAUCAAUCAAAUUCAUACUACAAAUAGCUCAGUUUAGAAAGGCACAGAUAAGAAAGCUGGAACCCUUGGCAAGAUGGACAGAUGGGGUGUGAAAAACUCUAUGAUGCUGAGACCUGAUAAAUGCAAAGAGCAGCACGACCUCAUGCUUCAGAAUGAAACAAGAACUAACUGGUGGCAGAAAUCUUCGGAAGAGGACCUGGCAGUCCUUGUGAAGAACACACUGAAAGCCAGCAGAAUGCUGUGGCAAUGGGGAACCCAACCACACCGCAGCAUGCAUGAGGCAAUGCCCAGUCUGAAGACCAGGGCUCUCUUCUACAUGGAAAAGGUGAGGCCAUCUCUGGAGUGUGAUGUCCAGUUUGGGGCCUCUGCUACAAGAGAAGAGAUGGACGUGCUGGAGAAUCCAGUGCAGAGAGGGCUGGAGCAAGUGAUUUCUGAGAGGAGCCACACAUGUCACAGAAUCACACGGUGAUUCGGCUGGGAGGAACCUGACAUAACACAUACUCCAAUGCUCUCUUCAAUGCAACAGCUUCCAAGUCCAGUCAGGUCACUCAAAUCCAAUUUGAGUUUGAAAGUCUUCAAGGGUUGAAAUCCCUCAACCUCAUCCAACUUUCUCCACAGUCCAAGUGUUAACUUCAAGGCAAAAAAAAAAAAGUAGUAAACUUAUAAACUGUCAGAAUUUCCUUUUCUGGAACUUGUUCCUCCUAAGAGCCAUGUACUUCUGAGAAAAGGCUGGUGCCAUCUUUCCCAUGACAAGUUCUAGAUGAGCCAAUGAGACACCUCUUUCAGCUUUCUGUUUUGUGGGUCAAUCAGACCCAGUUACCAACCUGUCUCUGCAUGUUAUGUGCACUUGAAGAGAUACUCAGAUCAAAAGUGAGCACCCUAAAGCACUGGAGGGGCUAGCUGUACUGGCAUCUCCUGAAACAUGUGGCAAGUCCUGUCCUUGAAGCUCUGCAAGUGCAUCAACCUGGCUGACUUAGAGCACCAGGUCUCUGCUAUUCCCUGUCAGAAUGCUGGGAAGAACCAAUGCCCAGAAAACACGUUCUUUGGGUCCUUGUUCUUGUUCCCCCCUCUGAGAGCACUCUUGACCCAAGAGGAAUAGGGGGGUGGAUUUAGGGAUGUGAACUUGGGGAAGUUCUACUGCACUCAGCCACUAUCAGGAGAAGCAGAGAAGAUGCAGCAAAAAUCUUAAAAACGCAGAGAAUUUAUAAUAGAUAGAAUAAAAAGAAGAGCCCAUUGUUCUGCUGCAGAAAAAAAAAAACAACCAAACAUGCUGGAUGGAAUGAAGUAAUGUCAUAUCACCUACUGAAGGCAAUGAGUGUUUGCAACUGAGCUGUUUAAGGCCUUUUCAAGAAAUGUUCCUGUCCUAUUAGACAUGGGUCCUUCUUACCGUCCUUAAGUUUGUUACAGGAAACGUUACUUCUGAAGGUUGACAUCUGUCUUUAAGUUGGGAAUCUCAUGGGAAAUAAAACAUUUGAAGUUGAUCUAAGCAGCAGCAGAGGUAAGGAAGCACUGUGUCCCUGCAGCUGGAAUAAAGCUGUUCAGCACGGUGAAAGACCAGACUUUCAAACUGCCCCUCUCCAACCCACAGAACUCAGCUCUCCUAUCCGCAUCUAAACUCUAUGAAACACAAAUCAAGGUUUAACCAAUUCAUGCCAACACCAUUUUCCCCUGCAUUACAACUCACGUUUUCUCAUGUUACCUGAUUGUCUGAUCAAAAGAAGCACUAAGAAUUUGGCUGCUGUCCUUAGAAAAACUCAGGCAUGUAACACCUUUACUGUGGGCUCGUUCAAACCUCCGCAGGCACUGACCGCUCUGGAUUUUCCACACCUGCAAAGGAAAGAAACAAGAGGGGUUACUUCAUACCUCGAUCAGCAAAGCCAGUGUGUCAGAGCCAAUGUGUGGCUGUGCCUCUGUAUUCACGCACAACUGCAACAUUAUUUCACCAUGCCAAAUGAGUCUUUCACCAGCCCUGAGAAAGUUCCUCAGGAAGGACUCCUACCUUGAUCUUUCCAUCCUGUGCUCCAGUUGCCAGCAUUUCUGUAUCCCUGCUGAAGCACAUGCACAACACUGCAUCGUCCAUCAUCAUAAAAUUAUCUUGUGCCUGGUAUUUCAGAUCCUAAAAGAAAGCAGAAGAUCCACCAAUCAACAGCAAGUUAAACAAAGUUUUACGCUCAUAACUAUUAGCACUUUGUAACAUGCUGAUAGCCUCAACUCCAGCUACAUUUUAUAGCUUAUCAAACCUCACAGUCUUAGAAAGACCAGAAAAUGCUGCUGUCACCAUUUUAGGGGCAACAACAAAUACUUGGAAAGGAGAAAAAAGUGUCAUCACAGAAGGAAGUUAGCGACAAGGGAGAAUUAAAUCAAUGUCAGGAUCCCAGGCCAACACAGAGCACCAAGCAGGCAUCCUUCACGGCCUCACAGAAGCCAACAAAAGCAUGCAGGCUACCAGCUCCAGCUCCUGAGCUGCCCACAGAACAAACGUACCUUCCGAAUCUUCCCAGUGGUGAAGUUCCACACUUCAAUGAAACCAUCCACAGAGCCAGUGACCAGAUACUGGCCGUCAGGUGAAAACCGAGCACACUCCACGUGGGACUUCUGCCCAAACUGUUUUAUACAAGAACAGAAAUUAAGCCUGAUAAGCAACCUAAAUGACAACAAGCGAUUCACAAUAAAAGAAAAUCACAACCUCCUUUUGGCCAUAAAUUCCAGUGUUGCCUACAGAUGUGCAGUCACACACUUAAUAUUCAGGUACAAGGUCUUUUUGGAUACAUAUAUUCACCUGGUACUGGCUGCUAAGCUUAAGCCAAGCACUACAUACUGACAAAAACAGCAAUUUUGGUUAGCUUUUCUUCAGCGAACUGUGAAUGUUAACAAAUACCUUCUCAGCACUUGGUACCUAUCAGCAGAUUCCAGAAAUCCUGAUGUAUUGCAAGUUACAUCACUGGGAAUCAUUGCUUCUCUAGGGACAUUUUCACAGAGCGUUUGAUGUUUUUUUUGUUUUUCAGCAGAAAAAGAAACAGAAGUGAUGAUGGUCAAUAAGUAUAACAAAACGUUUUCACUAGCCAAUACAUAAAUCCAAGAUAAGCACUGGAAAACAGAACAAAUUCCAACGCAGCAUUACCAAGCUGCCACUGAACACGAGAAAUAAAUGUCACAAAAUCACACUUCUGAAACACGGUAUCUUCUGAUCACUGUGAAAACCAGUAGAGCUACCAAACUGAGCUGAAAUUUCUUACUGCACAGGACUGACUGCUAGGUAAAUUUCAAAGGCCUCCACAUAACAAAACUGCCUGUUCCACACCAUGAGAGCUGCAGCACCACAGCGUCACCACAGCACAGCUUUCUUCCUCUUCUGGAAUCUACACGGCUGAAUUCUUA